UACGUAGGGGGCAAGCGUUGUCCGGAAUCAUUGGGCGUAAAGAGCGUGUAGGCGGCUCGGUAAGUCCGCUGUGAAAGUCCAGGGCUCAACCCUGGAAUGCCGGUGGAAACUGUCGAGCUAGAGUCCGGAAGAGGCGAGUGGAAUUCCUGGUGUAGCGGUGAAAUGCGCAGAUAUCAGGAGGAACACCUGAGGUGAAGACGGGUUGCUGGGCUGAUACUGACGCUGAGGCGCGAAAGCGUGGGGAGCGAACAGG
rnacentral:rRNA from 1 species